GUCUGGUUUUGGAACCAGGGUGAUGAUAGCUUCCAAGAAUGAGUUUGGCAGUGUUAUUUCCAUUUAAUUUUCAUGGAAGAAUUUGAAGACUGCUGGCUUUAGAUGUCUCCUGAAGCUCUGGUAAAAUUCUGUGGUGAAUUCAUCAGGUCGUGGGCUUUUCUUAGUUGAUUUCCUGGGUGUCGUCUGGGUGCCUGGCCCAGUUCCAGCAGAGGGAUGAAGAGGAAGAACACUGUCCCUCCAGAGCAGUCACAGUGCACUCUGUGCUACAGGGGCAGCAUGUUCCUUCAGGCAAAUGUGCAUAUCAGUGGCUCAAUAAAUAGGAAUGCAGUUAAAUGAGGCACAGACAGCAGGAUAAUAAAAAGAAAUUAGUGACUUCCACAAAGGGAGCAGCACAGCAGCUCACAGGUGUGUGGUGAUGUGGAACUAGUUCCACGUUCUAAUUGUCUAGUGAGCUCCCUGCUCAAGUCAAAUUCUGGACACAGACUGCAGCUGCUUUCUCUCAUAUGUGGUGGAGUGGUGUUAGAGAGGUAGAAAGUGAUUUGGAUUUAACCCAGCACAGACUGGUUAUGAGAAAAGAGAGAGCAUUUUGCAUUUCUUGCCCCAAAGCCUGUCAGUGCUAUCAACCUGGCUAUACUCCAAGAAUGAUGUCACCUACAGUUGUCCAAUUUGCACAUCACUCCCUCAAAUCAAAACACCACACCUGGCUGAAAUUACUUUCUUGAUUAAGCAUUUUAGGACUUUUUUUUUUUUUUAGUGGCAGUGGUGGUGAUGGAGCCAGAGAGCACUGAAUUAGGUCCUCAGUCCUUUCUACUUUUUAAAUUUUAAUUUGAGACAACAUCUUGAUAAAUUGCUCAAGCUGGCCUUAAAUUUUUGACC
ensembl:lncRNA